rnacentral:rRNA from 1 species
CGCUGAACUUAAGCAUAUCAAUAAGCGGAGGAAAAGAAACCAACAGGGAUUGCCUCAGUAACGGCGAGUGAAGCGGCAACAGCUCAAAUUUGAAAUCUGGUUCCUUUCAGGGCCCGAGUUGUAAUUUGUAGAGGAUGUCUUCGGGUCUGGCCCCGGCCUAAGUUCCUUGGAACAGGACGUCACAGAGGGUGAGAAUCCCGUAUGUGGCUGGAGGUCUAUUCCCAUGUGAAGCUCCUUCGACGAGUCGAGUUGUUUGGGAAUGCAGCUCAAAAUGGGUGGUAAGUUUCAUCUAAAGCUAAAUACCGGCGGGAGACCGAUAGCGCACAAGUAGAGUGAUCGAAAGAUGAAAAGCACUUUGGAAAGAGAGUUAAAAAGUACGUGAAAUUGUUGAAAGGGAAGCGCUUGCGACCAGACUUGCCCUCAGUUGAUCAACCGGUGGUAAACACCGGUGCACUCUGCUGAGGUCAGGCCAGCAUCGGUUUAGGCGGUUGGAGAAAGGCCUAGGGAAUGUGGCUCCCUCCGGGGAGUGUUAUAGCCUGUGGCGUCAUGCGACCAGCCUGGACCGAGGACCGCGCUUCGUGCUAGGAUGCUGGCGUAAUGGUCGUAAGCGACCCGUCUUGAAACACGGACC